UGUGUGGUUAUCUUUUAAUAGUACACUGUAAUUUUUUUUUUUUCCAUUUCAGAGACGAAUGAAUGCAUUUGCUGAAAAUAAAGCUCAACAAAGAGGAAAAGUGAAAGGUAAAGUGGACUGAUUGAAAGAUGAAGUCACCUUUUGACAGGCUUAAUAUCUAGGCAUGGAGGAUCCGCCAUCAACCAUCUCAUUAGCAACCUAACCACAAGAAUUCGUAGCUCGAGGAUAUUCACAUCAAGCAUUGCUAGGAAUAAGGGAAGGUUGAGAAGGAUUGCAGUGAGCAGGUAAAUUUUUUGGUUUCUUUCUCCCUUUCUAAGUUUUUAUUUUUUCUGUGUUUGUUUUGUUUUGGACUGGGAAGAAAGGGGAGGGGAAUACAUAUGAUUGUGUAUUUGUAUAUGAUGGUAUGCUUUACAAAUUACAUAUACAUGUUUUCCUUGUCCAUUGCAUUUU